AUUGAACGCUGGCGGAAUGCUUUACACAUGCAAGUCGAACGGCAGCACGGGGGCAACCCUGGUGGCGAGUGGCGAACGGGUGAGUAAUACAUCGGAACGUGCCCAUGUCGUGGGGGAUAACGUAGCGAAAGCUACGCUAAUACCGCAUACGAUCUACGGAUGAAAGCGGGGGAUCGCAAGACCUCGCGCGAUUGGAGCGGCCGAUGGCAGAUUAGGUAGUUGGUGGGGUAAAGGCUCACCAAGCCUGCGAUCUGUAGCUGGUCUGAGAGGACGACCAGCCACACUGGGACGGCGACACGGGCCCGAAUCCUACGGGAGGCAGCAGUGGGGAAUAUUGGACAAUGGGCGAAAGCCUGAUCCAGCCAUGCCGCGUGUGUGAAGAAGGUCUUCGGAUUGUAAAGCACUUUAAGUUGGGAGGAAGGGUAUUCACCUAAUACGUGGGUACUUUGACGUUACCAACAGAAUAAGCACCGGCUAACUCUGUGCCAGCAGCCGCCGUAAUAC
rnacentral:rRNA from 1 species